rnacentral:rRNA from 1 species
AGAGCGAACGCUGGCGGCAGGCCUAACACAUGCAAGUCGAGCGCCCCGCAAGGGGAGCGGCAGACGGGAGAGUAACACGUGGGAACGUACCCUUCAGUUCGGAACAACCCAGGGAAACUUGGGCUAAUACCGAAUACGUCCGUAAGGAGAAAGAUUUAUCGCUGAAGGAUCGGCCCGCGUCUGAUUAGCUAGUUGGUGAGGUAACGGCUCACCAAGGCUACGAUCAGUAGCUGGUCUGAGAGGAUGAUCAGCCUCACUGGGACUGAGACACGGCCCAGACUCCUACGGGAGGCAGCAGUGGGGAAUAUUGGACAAUGGGCGCAAGCCUGAUCCAGCCAUGCCGCGUGGAUGAUGAAGGCCUUAGGGUUGUAAAGUCCUUUCGGACGGGGAAGAUAAUGACGGUACCGUAGAAGAAGCCCCGGCUAACUUCGCGCCAGCAGCCGC